rnacentral:tRNA from 1 species
GGUCUUGUGGUGAAUACAUCAUACUGAAGUGCAAAUUCAGCGAAGCAGCUUUAACUCUGCCGAGGCUU